rnacentral:rRNA from 1 species
CACGGGGGGAGCAAGCGUUGUUCGGAAUCACUGGGCGUAAAGGGCGUGUAGGCGGUCAGGUAAGUGGGAUGUGAAAUGCCCCGGCUCACCCGGGGACCGGCAUCCCAAACUGCUUGGCUUGAGUAUGGGAGAGGAUGAGGGAAUUCCUGGUGUAGCGGUGAAAUGCGUAGAUAUCAGGAGGAACACCGGUGGCGAAGGCGCUCAUCUGGCCCAAUACUGACGCUGAGGCGCGAAAGCUAGGGGAGCAAACAGG